rnacentral:ncRNA from 1 species
CCACUCUGGAAAGCAGGGACGACGUUCCCUCGCCGAAGGUGCAAGCCACACCACGUGCGUGGCGAAGCUCUCAGGCACCCAUGACAGAGGGGGA